rnacentral:lncRNA from 1 species
AUGGUGCUGGAGGCCAAGAGUUCAGGGCCAGCUGCCAGCCCCCAGUGUGAUGCCCCAUUCCACAGCAGGAGCCACAGGCACAGCCCCCAGGACACCCGCUGCAGCCCCCUGCUCUCCACCUUGAGAGCCACGGGCCUGUGCCCAGCAGAGGCCUCCCAAGCACACUCCAAGGCCUCCUUUAAUCAGAUUCAAGUAGCCACGGUGUGGUGCCCAGGCCUGCCGCCCACCCAUGUCCCUCAUCUGCUGCCUGACAUGAGGUUCGGGACAAAGGCCCCGAGAGCGAGCUCCCUCCCUCCCCCAGGGCCGCAAGCUGAGCCCCAGGGAGGCAGCCACCUGCACUUCUGUUGCCGGCGUGACCUGCGUCCCAGCUGCCCUUCCCUUGGAUUAAAUGGCAAUUCGAGUGUGGGCAGAGGAGCCGCACGUGAGCGAACACUGCAGACCGCCUGCAGUGUUCCUGAGGGGACUGCUUCCCAUUUGGUGUCUGUGUCCCUCCCACAUCGCAGGCCACGCAAUUCAUCGUGUCCCAGCGGCCUGGAUCCUGUGUUGGGGCAAUUUUUUGAGGCUUACCCGAUUUGCUGUCAGGUCAAAGCCAGGUGCAAAGGGAAUUCCCGUUCUCUUCAAGGCCACAGAGCUGGAGGCCAGGCCACCCUGGGUGCCCGCCUGUCUUCUGUGGGCUGCACCACCAGGGCUGGAGGCCAGGAAAUGCACUCUGCCCCCAGUGUGGGGCACCUCGAGCCAGCACCUGCAGUGACUGCGUCUCUGAAGUCCAGGAGCGGACAGGUGAGCCCACCACAGCCCCCCUGUGGACUGGUACCAGGCGAGGCCCCUCUGCGGCUGGUCAGCCUCCGGCCACAGCCCUGGGCACCUGAGUCUGGAUCUGGGUUUUUAACUCGCAGCAGGUGGCAGCAGACCCGGGGCUCCAGAGCUCUUGGACACCGGUACAGAGGGGCCUGUUCCAGGAGGGGGACUCUGCCCCCAUGGGGUCUAGUGGAGAGGGUGUUCAGCCAGGCAGCUGGGAAGGACAGCCUUGCUGUGUCCUCCAGGGACAUCCUCCUCCAGGUGGUUGGUGCGCACAUCCUCGCUCCCCACACAGUGCCUAGAAAGCCUGUGGGGGUUCUGGCAACGAUGGCACCCGCCCUCCAGCCCUUCCCAGGGGGUGCCCCAGGGCCUCUGCCCACAGCCCCUUCUCCACAGCCACACUCCCACCCACCUGUUUGGUGGGGCUUUGGGUGGGCAGGAGGAUGUAGACAGACAGCUCACACACGUCGGGGGUGGCGGGAAGGCUGCGGCUCAUGA